rnacentral:rRNA from 1 species
UACGUAGGGGGCAAGCGUUGUCCGGAAUCAUUGGGCGUAAAGAGCGCGUAGGCGGCCCGACAAGUCCGCUGUGAAAGUCAAGGGCUCAACCCUUGAAUGCCGGUGGAUACUGUCGGGCUAGAGUCCGGAAGAGGCGAGUGGAAUUCCUGGUGUAGCGGUGGAAUGCGUAGAGAUCGGGAAGAACAUCAGUGGCGAAGGCGGCCUGCUGGGCUGUUGCUGACGCUGAGGCGCGACAGCGUGGGGAGCAAACAGG